CAGAGCAGCAGGGAUGGAGGGCCGGGGAGGAUGCAAAGGAGGACCUUCCCCCUAGGCAGGAACAAGGAGGUCCAUAUUCCUGGAGUAGGUGCACAGCAGGAGAAACACACAACCAGUGCCAUGGGACAGGAGCACCCCGCAGGAGUGGGGCACAGCAUGGGAGGUGCACGUCCUCCAUCCCACCCCAUGCACAACCAUCGAGCAACCGCUGCAAAUCGGAUGAGGCUCAACCCCGGAGGCCCUCCAUUGAUUUCCGUUGCCUAACGACGGGAAAGCUUUAUAAUCCUAUUAACUAAACACCCUUUCAAGCAGCAGUGGCAGAAGCACCAAGGGGACUUGUGUAAGCAGGAGGAGCCACCCAGUGCAGAACACAGCUCCGUGAAUGCUGGGGGGUCCCCCAAAUGUGAGGCUGUGACACCUGCAGGUGCAGUGCUGGGUCUGACCCACAAACCAAGCAGGUGUUUGGCACAGGGGCUGGGAGCUCUUGCAUAGGACAGCAGUGCCCGGGCACACAAAUUUGCAAGAGCUGGCCCCAGAAUAUCAACAUAUCACUGCAUUUUAGUCUGUUCUUAAUUACCAACACUCCAGUGUUUGCACUUGGAGAAGUUCUCCAGCAAAAGACAGGCCACCGUUGAAAUAUUUCACAGAAAAAGGUGAAUUUUGUUGCUCCAGUUGCUGUGCACAAGUGCUUGCCCAUCACCAUGGAAAUGCUGAAGAGAGCUCAGGGCCUGCUGGGGCUUUCAUCCUCCUCCAAGCAAAACCAGGGCCUUGGGCAGUCACCAGCCUAUGGCACUCAGAGGAGCAGCAAUGGGUUCGUG
rnacentral:lncRNA from 1 species